UAGGGAAUCUUCCGCAAUGGGCGAAAGCUUGACGGAGCAACGCCGCGUGAGUGAUGAAGGUCUUCGGAUCGUAAAACUCUGUUAUUAGGGAAGAACAAAUGUGUAAGUAACUAUGCACGUCUUGACGGUACCUAAUCAGAAAGCCACGGCUAACUACGUGCCAGCAGCCGCGGUAAUACGUAGGUGGCAAGCGUUAUCCGGAAUUAUUGGGCGUAAAGCGCGCGUAGGCGGUUUUUUAAGUCUGAUGUGAAAGCCCACGGCUCAACCGUGGAGGGUCAUUGGAAACUGGAAAACUUGAGUGCGGAAGAGGAGAGUGGAAUUCCAUGUGUAGCGGUGAAAUGCGCAGAGAUAUGGAGGAACACCAGUGGCGAAGGCGACUUUCUGGUCUGUAACUGACGCUGAUGUGCGAAAGCGUGGGGAUCAAAAAGG
rnacentral:rRNA from 1 species